UUGAACUUGAAUUUGUGGCGUUUGUUGUACUUGCGUUUGUGUCGUGUUUGAACUUGAGUUUGUGGUGUUUUUGAACUUGAGUUUGUGUUGUAUUUGAACUUCAGGUUGUGGAAAUUGUUAAACUUGAGAAUUGGGUAUUGGUUGAACUUGAAUUUGUGUGUUUUUUGAAUUUGAGUUUGUGGCGUGUUUGAACUUAAGUUUGUGGUGUUUUUGAACUUGAGGUUGUGGCAAUUGUUAAACUUGAGUUUGUUGUGUUUUUUGAACUUGAGUUUGUGUUGUUUUUGUACUUGAGGUUGGGCAAUUGUUAAACUUGAGAUUUGGGUGUUGGUUGAACUUGAGAUUGUGGCCUUUGGAAAAUUUGAGUUUGUGGCGUGUUUGAACUUGAGUUCGUGGUGUUUUUGAACUUGAGUUUGUGGAAAUUGUUAAAUUUGAGAUAUAUGAUUUGGUUGAACUUGAGUUAGUGUUGCGUUUUGAACUUGACUUUGUGUGUUUGUUGAACUAGGGUUUGUGGUGUGUUUGAACUUGAGUUUGUGUGUUUUUUAAACUUGUGUUUGUGUGUUUGUUGAACUUGAGUUUGUGUUGUGUUUGAACUUUAAUUUGUGGUUUAUUUGAACUUGAGUUUUUUUUCACGUUUGAACUUGAGUUUGUGGCGUUUGUUGAACUUGAGUUUGUGUCGUGUUUGAACUUGAGUUUAUGGCGUUUGUUGAACUUGAUUUUCUGUUGUUUUUGAACUUGAGAUUGUGGAAAUUGUUAAACUUGAGAUUUGGGUGUUGAUUGAACUUGAGUUUGUUGUGUUUGAACUUGAGUUUGUGGUGUUUUUGAACUUGAGUUUGUGUCGUGUUUGAACUUGACUUUCUUUUGUUAUUGAGCUUGAGGUUUUGGAAAUUGUUAAACUUGAGAUUUGGGUGUUUGUUGAACUUGAGUUUGUGGCGCGUUUGAACUUGAGUUUGUUGUGUUUUUGAAGUUGAAGUUGUGGCAAUUGUUAAACUAGAGAUUUGGGUGUUGGUUGAAAUUCAGUUUGUGGCCUUACUUGAACUUGAGUUUUUGUUGUGCUUGAACUUGAGUUUGUGGCGUGUUUUUGAACUUGAGUUUGUCUGUAUGUUAAAAUUGAGUUUUUGGCGUGUUUGAAGUUGACUUUUUUUUUGUUUUUGAACUUGAGGUUGUGGAAAUUGUUAAACUUGAGAUUUGGGUGUUGAUUGAACUUGAGUUUGUGUUGUGUUUGAACAUGAGUUUGUUUUGUUUUUUAAAUUGAGUUUUUGUCGUGUUUGAACUUGAGUUUGUGGUGUUUUCGAACUUGAGUUUGUGUAUUUGUUGAACUUGAGUGUGUGGCGUGUGUGAACUUGAGUUUGUAGUGUUUUUGAAGUUGAGGUUUUGGCAUUUGUCAAACUAGAGAUAUGGGUGUUGGUUGAAAAUCAGUUUGUGGCCUUAUUUGAACUUGAGUUUUUGUCGUGCUUGAACUUGAGUGUGUGGCGUGUUUUUGAACUUGAGUUUGUCUGUAUGUUGAAAUUGAGUUUUUGGCGUGUUUAAACUUGAGGUUUUUGAAAUUGUUAAACUUGAGAAUUGCGUAUUGAUCUAUCUUGAGUUCGUGUGUUUUUUGAACUUUAGUUUGUGUCAUUUAGAACUUGAGUUUGUGGUGUUUUUGAACUUGAGGAUGUGGAAAUUGUUAAACCUAAGGAAUUGGGUAUUGGUUAAACUUGAGUUUGUGUGUUUGUUGAACCUUAGUUUGUGUCGUGUUUGAACUUGAGAUUGUGGUAUUUUUUUGAACUUGAAUUUUUGUGUUUUUUUACCUUGAGUUUGUGGAGUUUUUGAAUUUGAGUUUCUGUUGUCUUUAAACUUGAAGUUGUUGCAAUUGUUAAACUUGAGAUUUGGGUGUUGGUUUAACUUCAGAUUCGGUGUUGUGGUGUUUUUGAACUUGAAUUUGUUUGUUUUUUUAACUUGAGUUUGUUGCAAUUUUUGAACUUCAGUUUGUUGAACUUGAGUUUUUGGCAAUUGUUAAAUGUGAGUUUAGGUCAAUUUUUGAAUUUGAAAUUUUGGCAUUUUUUGAACUUCAGAUUGAGGUGUUUGUUGUACUUGAGUUUGUGGCGUGUUUAACUUGAGUUUCUAUUGUUUUUUGAACUUGAGGUUGUGGAAAUUGUUAAACUUGAGACUUGGGAUUUGGUUCAACUUGAGUUUUUGUCGUGUUUGAACUUGAGUUGGUGUUGUUUGUUGAACUUGAGAUUGUGUGUUUUUUAAAAUUGAGGUUGUGAAAAUUUAUAAACUUGAGAAUCAGGUGUUGGUUGAACUUGAGUUUGUGUCUUGUUUGAAAUUGAGUUUGUGGUGUAUUUGAACUUGAGUUUGUGUGUUUGAUUAACCUGGGUUUGUGUGUUUGUUGAACUUGUGUUUGUGUGUUUGUUGAACUUGAGUUUGUGUUGUGUUUGAACUUUAUUUUGUGGUUUAUUUGAACUUGAGUUUUUGGUGUUUUUGAACUUGAGGGUGUGUCAUUUGUUUUACUUGAGGUCGUGGCAAUUGUUAAACUUGAGUUUGUGUCUUUGUUGAACUUGAGUUUGUGGUGUUUAAACUUGAGUAUGUGUGUUUGUUGAACUUGAGUUUGUGUUGUGUUUGAAUUUGAGUUUGUGGUGUUUUUGAACUUGAUCUUGUUUUGUGUUUGAACUUGAGUUUGUGGUGUUUGUUGAACUUGAGUUUGUGUGUUUUUGAAAUUGAGUUGGUGGUGUUUUUGAACUCUAGUUUCGUGUUUGAACUUGAUUUCGUGGUUUUUGUUGAACUUGAGUUUAUGUCAUGUUUGAACUUGAGUUUGUGGUGUCUUUGAACUUGAGUUCGUGGUAUUUUUGAAGUUGAGGGUGUGGAAUUUUCUGAACUUGAGGUUGUAGCAAUUGUUAGACUUGAGAUUUGGGUGUUGUUUGAACUUGAGUUUGUGUCAGGUUUGAACUUGAGUUUGUGUUUGUUGAUCUUGAGUUUGUGGCAAUUGUUAGACUUGAGAUUUGGGUGUUGGUUGAACUUGAGUUUGUGUUGUGUUUGAACUUGAGUUCGUUGUGUUUUUGUACUUGAGUCUGUGUUUUUUUUUAACUUAAUGAUGUGGAAAUUGUUAAAAUUGAGAAAUGGGUAUUAGUUGAACUUGAGGUUUUGGUGUUUUUGAACUUGAGUUUGUGUCGUGUUUCCACUUGAGUUUGUGUCGUUUUUGAACUUGAAUUUGCGUGUUUGGUGAACUUGAGUUUGUGUGUUUUUUGAACUUGAGUUUCUGUUGUUUUUGAACUUACGGUUGUGUAAAUUGUUAAACUUGGGAAUCAGGUGUUGGUAGAACAUGAGUUUGUGGUGUUUUUGAACUUAAGAUUGUUUCAUGUUUGAACUUGAGUUUGUGUUUGUUGAACUUGAGGUUGUGGCAAUUGUGAAACUUAAGAUUUGGGUGUUGGUUGAACUUGAGUUUGUGUCGUGUUUGAACUUGAGUUCGUGUUGUUUGUUAAACUUGAGUUUGUGUGUUUUUUGAACUUGAGGUUGUGAAAAUUUUUAAAUUUGAGAAUCAGUUGUUGGUUGAACUUGAGUUUGUGGUUUUUGUUGAACUUGAGUUUGUGUUGUGUUUGAACUUGAGUAUGUGUUGUUUUUGAACUUGAGGUUGUGGAUUGUUUGAACUUGAGUUUGUGUGUUUGUUGAACUUGAGGGUGUGGCAAUUGUUAAAUUUUAGAAUUGGGUAUUGGUUGAACUUGAGUUUUUGGUGUUUUUGAACUUGGGUUUGUGUCGUUUUUGAACUUGAGUUUGUGUGCGUUUUGAACUGGAGUUUCUGUUGUUUUUGAACUUGAGGUUGUGGAAAUUGUUAAACUUGAGAAUCGGGUGUUGGUUGAAUUUGAGUUUGUGUGUUUGUUGAAUUUGAGUUUGUGUCGUGUUUCAACUUGAGUUUGUGGUGUUUUUGAACUUGAGUAGUUGUGUUUAUUGAAUUUGAGUUUGUGUUGUGUUUGAACAUGAGUUUGUGGUGUUUUUGAACUUGAGUUUGUUUCGUGUUUGAACUUGAGUUUGUGGCAUUUGUUGAACUUGAGUAUGUGUCGUGUUUUAACUUGAGUUUGUCUUGUUUUUGGACUUGAGUUUGUGGUGUCUUUAAAUAGAGGGUUUGGAAUUUUCAAACUUGAGAAUUGGGUUGUGGUUGAACUUGAGUUUGUGUGUUUGUUGAACUUGAGUUUGUUUCAUUUUUGAACUUGAGUUUGUGUGUUUGUUGAACUUGACUGUGUGUUUGUUGAACUUGAGGUUUUGACAAUUGUUAUACUUGAAAAUGGGUGUUGGUUGAACUUAAGUUUGUGUCGAGAUUUAACUUGAGUUUGUGGCAAUUGUUGAACUUGUAUCUGUGGCUUUAAGUGAAUUUUAAUUGGUGGCAAUGUUUGAACUUGUGUUUGUGGCGUUUGUUGAACUUGAGUUUGUGUCGUGUCUGAACUCGAGUAUGUGGUGUUUUUUAACUUGAGUAUAUGGUGUUUUUGAACUUGAGGGUGUUUUUUAAUUUGUUUAACUUAAGAAUUGGGUAUUGGUUGAAGUUGAGUUUUUGGUUUUUGUUGAACUUGAGUUUGUGUUGUUUGAACUUGAGUAUGUGUUGUUUUUGAACUUGAGGUUGUGGAUUGUUUGAACUUGAGUUUGUGUGUUUGUUGAACUUGAGGGUGUGGCAAUUGUUAAAUUUUAGAAUCGGGUGUUGGUUGAAUUUGAGUUUGUGUGUUUGUUGAAUUUGAGUUUGUGUCGUGUUUCAACUUGAGUUUGUGGUGUUUUUAACCUUGAGUUGUUGUGUUUAUUGAAUUUGAGUUUGUGUUGUGUUUGAACAUGAGUUUGUGGUGUUUUUGAACUUGAGUUUGUUUCGUGUUUGAACUUGAGUUUGUGGCAUUUGUUGAACUUGAGUAUGUGUCGUGUUUUAACUUGAGUUUGUCUUGUUUUUGAACUUGAGUUUGUGGUGUCUUUAAAUAGAGGGUUUGGAAUUUUCAAACUUGAGAAUUGGGUUGUGGUUGAACUUGAGUUUGUGUGUUUGUUGAACUUGAGUUUGUUUCAUUUUUGAACUUGAGUUUGUGUGUUUGUUGAACUUGACUGUGUGUUUGUUGAACUUGAGGUUUUGACAAUUGUUAUUCUUGAAAAUGGGUGUUGGUUGAACUUAAGUUUGUGUCGAGAUUUAACUUGAGUUUGUGGCAAUUGUUGAACUUGUAUCUGUGGCUUUAAGUGAAUUUUAAUUGGUGGCAAUGUUUGAACUUGUGUUUGUGGCGUUUGUUGAACUCGAGUAUGUGGUGUUUUUUAACUUGAGUAUAUGGUGUUUUUGAACUUGAGGGUGUUUUUUAAUUUGUUUAACUUAAGAAUUGGGUAUUGGUUGAAGUUGAGUUUUUGGUGUGUUUGAUCUUGAGGUUUUGUCUUUUUUUUUACUUGAGGUUUUGGCAAUUGUUAAACUUGAGAUUUGGGUGUUGGUUGAACUUGAGUUUGUGUCGUGUUUGAACUUGAGUUCAUGUUUUUUUAACUUGAGUUUUUGUGUUUGUUGAACUUGAGGUUGUGAAAUUUUUAUACUUGAGAAUCAGGUGUUGGUUGAACUUGGGUUGGUGGUUUUUGUUGAACUUGAGUUUGUGUCGUUUUUGAUCUUGAGUAUGUGGUGUUUUUGAACUUGAGUCUAUGUUGAUUUGAACUUGAGGUUGUGGAAAUUGUUAAACUUGAGAAUUGGGAAUUGGUUGAACCUGAGUUUUUGUCGUGUUUGAACUUGAGUUUGUGGUGUUUUUGGAUUUGAGUUUUUGGUGUUUUUUAACUUGAAGUUGUGGAUAUUGUUAAACUUGAGAAUUGGGCAUUGGUUGAACUUGAGUUUUUUGUGUUUUUGAACUUUAGUAUUUGUCUUGUUUGAACUUGAGUUUGUGGUGUUUGGUGUUCUUGAGUUUGCGUGUUUCGUGAACUUGAGAUUGUGUGUUUUUGGAACUUCAGUUUCUGUUCUUGAACUUGGGGUUGUGGAAAUUGCUAAACUUGAGAAUAAGGUGUUGGUUGAACUUGAGUUUGUUGUCUGUUGAACUUGAGUUUGCGGUUAUUUUUAAACUUGAGUUUGUGGUGUUUUUGAACUUGAGUUUUUUUGUUUGAGCUUGAGUUUGUGUCGUUCGUUUGAACUUGAGGUUGUGGAAAUUGUUAAACUUGAGAAUUGGGUAUCGGUUGAACUUGAGUUUGUGUCGUAUUUGAACUUGAGUUUUUGGUGUUUGGUGAACUUGAGUAUGUGUCGUGUUUGAACUUGAUUUUGUGGUGUUUUUAAACUUGAGUUUGUAGUGUUUUUGAACUUGAGUUUGUUUCAUGUUUGAACUUGAGUUUGUGGUUUUUUUAACUUGAGUUUGUGCCGUGUUUGAACUUGAGUAUACAGUGUUUUUGAACUUGAGUCUGUUGUUUUUGAACUUGAGCUCAGUGGCGUUUCUAGACCAAAUUACUCCCCACGCGAGCACCCCUCUAAGCAUCCCCCCCCCCCCACACACACACACACACACAUACACCACCACCACACGCACACACACACAAACACAAAAAGAGAAAUAAUUUUGAACAGAUAGUUUUGUAUUAUUAUGUAGUAUUAUUUUGAUUAGAACAAAAUAUAUAUAUAUAUUUCUCAAUUGCAGAAAUCCUUCAAUAGAAAAAAACACAAUCCUGAGGACCAUUUUGGGAAGGGCCAGCAACGGUCCAGAGGAGCCAAAGAGAUGGAGGAGCUCAGGGCCCAGGGUGGAUGCAGCUGGGGUCAGGCAGUUCCGCAGCAGACCGUUUGCAGCAUUAGUCCAGUGGCAGCUAAAAGACUCAGAGACACUCAGAGAGACAGAAAACUGGUCAGUGACUUAUAUGGGACAUAAAGAUCUAAAGAGGAGUUAGAGACAGACUCUAGCUCAGUGUGCCAGAUAGCCCCGGCAGUAUAGACCUAUAGCAGCAUAACUAAGAGCUGGUUCAAAUCAGCCCUGACUAUAGGCUUUAUCAAAGAGGAACGUUUUAAGUCUACUCUUGAAAGUUGAGAGUGUGUCUGCCCCCUGAACCUCGAGCGGUAAAUGAUUCCAGAGGAGAGGUGCCUGGUAGCUGAAAGCUCUUCCUCCAAUACUACUUUUAGAGACAUUUGGUACAACGAGCAGGCCUGCAGACUGUGAGCGUAAAGGUCUAGAUGGAAAGUACGGUGUAACUAGCUCGUCGAGAUAUGAUGGAGCCUGGCCGUUAAGCGCUUUAUAUGUCACAAGGAGGAUUUUAAACUCAAUUCUAUAUUUAAUAGGGAGCCAGUAAAGAGAGGCUAAAACAGGAGAGAUGUGCUCCCUUUUUCUAGUUCUAGUCAGUACCCGAGCUGCUGCAUUUUGGACCAGCUGAAGAGUCCUUAAUGACUUACUAGAGCAGCCUGAUAGGAGAGAAUUACAGUAAUCCAGCCUAGAGGUAACAAAGGCAUGGACUAGUUUUUCUGCAUCGCUCUGAGACAAUAUCCGUCUAAUUUUUGAGAUAUUGCGCAGGUGGAAAAAGGCUGUCCUGGAAAUUUGUUGAAUGUGGGAGCUAAAAGAUAAAUCCUGAUCAAAAAAAACUCCCAGAUUUCGCACAGUGGGGCUGGAUGCCCGGCUGAUGCCAUCAAAUGUAGCUAAAUUACUAGAGAAUGCCUCUCUAAGGUGUUUAGGACCGAGGACCAGAACUUCAGUUUUGUCUGAGUUUAGCAUUAGAAAGUUAUUGGUCAUCCAGGAUUUUAUAUCUUUGAGCAGGGGCGUCACUAGGUUUUAAGGACAGGGGGGGGGGGGGCUUAGCCCCCGAGAGAUGAACAGGAUGUGAGUGAUCGUAGUGAGCGAGUACAAAAUUUCACAAACAGAAAACAAAGACUGAGAAAUUGCUUUUCAGCUUUUUUGGACGGAUUUAACUAAGAUGUAGUCUCAGGCCACCAGGAGUUUUUUUUUUUAUUUCAGUCUGUUUUUUCUUCAGUUCUUGCAACCACUACUGACCAAACUAUCAUGUUUUAUGUUUUUGCCAAACACUCUACAUGGGAAACAGAAAGCUGUAUUCUGGUUGACUGAAUAUCCUAACCAGUUGUGCUUUUCAAACCAGCUGUAGUGAAAUGCUCGCUUCUGUGUACCAAAACUAUCUUGUGGGUAGCUCUUCAGCUUGACCUGUCUGGGCCCUGUGUCUUUGUCACCUAAAUCAAACCCUGUAGUGGAAUGAGUUGCUGCAGCUGCUUCAUUAUUUUCCCUCUCUUGGCCUGUUUGCUCUCAUCUCUCAGCUUCCUCUGCCAUUUGCUGCAGCUCCUCAGCCUUUCCUUCUUCCUGACCCUCCAAGAUACAUUGAAACGCAUUGAAUUAAUAACUAAUCCAACAUAGAGGCUAAUGUCAUGGCUUACGCUCACACACCACAGUAAUUUUUUGCUCCCAAAUAGUAAGAUGUUACACAGAUUACAUUUUGGGCCCAUAUGUGACUAAAAUGGUUGCAAUUUAAAGCCCUGAAAAAUAUUACUAAAUUACUUGAAUUAAAGUAAUAUUAAAAUAGGACCCCCAAAAAUAUUUGGGUCAGGCUAAUUUAUCUCUUGGCUCUCUCCAUUUUCUAAUCUUGACUCUCAAAUAAAAACUCAAAUUAAAUAAGUUUUAUAUGGUGCACCAUGACUGAAAUUUAAUAUUUCAUAUCCAUAUUGAGUUCCAUAAAAUUCUAAUCAGACUGUCUGCAUCACUCCUGUGAAUUCUUUUAGACUCACCUCUCCAGUAGAGAUGUCUCCCCUCUCACUUGCUGUGCUCCUCUGUCUUGACUCCUACAGGUCAGUGGGGAUGGCGGGGUGAGUAUUAUUAGUGCAUUAUCAUUUUCCACUGAUGAUAAUCAUACGUGAAUGAGCUCAGCUCGCUUUUUUCAGAGCUUUUUACCGCCACCUACUGGACUGGAGUGUGGAGCAGUAAAUUGGUGGACAGAAAAAAUUUAGAAAUAAAUUUAAAAAAAAAAAAAAAAAAAAAGGAAUUAGAUCCUCUCCAGUAGCCCCGAGUUUUUCAAAUAUGCCAUUAGAUGCUUGAUUACAAUUUCUGAUUCUGAACUUAGUAGAUUCCCCAUGCUAAGUGCCAUCCUGGUUUCCUGCACUGCUGCUGCCAGUAUCCUCCUUUGCUCCACAUAUCCUCUACAAUCUAACAACACAUGCUGGACAGUCUCAGCCUGUCCAGAUUUGUCACAACUGCCAUCUGGGUGUUUUCCUAUCUUAUACAGUGUGUUAUUCAGUCCUGUGUGUCCUAUCCUCAGACGUGUGAUGAUUGCUUCCUCCCUCCGGUUCCUGCCCCUUCUUCUUCCCAACCCAACUUUUUUCCUGUAUGUUAUAAAGAUGUCUUCCCGUAUCUUGAAUGUCCCAGUAUUCUUGCCAUACUUUCUUCAUAUGUUUUUUGAUUAGUGAUUUACCCUCUGCCUUACUUAACGGAAUUUCUGUAUUUACAUUGUGUGAUUUGAGUGUUAGUUUGGCCAGAAAAUCUACUUCUUCAUUCCCUUCUAUACCUACAUGGGCAGGAACCCAAAUAAAACACACUGAUAAACCCCUCUUGUAAAUUGUAUAAAGUAGAUUUUGUAUUUUAUAUAUGAGUUCUUGCCUACAUGACUUCAUGGUUUUGAUGCUUGUAAGAGCUGCCCAACUGUCUGAUGCUAUUAGUGUAUUGUUUUGAUUGUUUGCUUCUAUCCAUUCCAAACCUAAGAUUAUAGCAACUAGCUCAACUGUAUAUACUGAUAGAUGGUCUGUGGUUCUUUUCUUGAUAUGUGUUUUGUAGUGUGGAAUGAGAACUGCAGCUCCUUUUCUUCCAGUAUCAGGGUCUUUUGAUCCAUCUGUGAAAAUCCAUAUUUUAUCUGAAAAAUGUUGUUCUAGGUACCUUUCAGCUACUCCUCCCGCAGAGACCUGCCUAUUCCUUUUUUCCAGUUGUUGCUGUAAUUGAAAGUUUACUGAUGGUUCUAUGAAUAACCAGGGAGGAGUAAUUGAAUAUGGGACCGUCGGACUGAAUUGUAUGCCACCUAAUCCUGCUUGUACUGCUUUUAUGUUUCCUAUCCAGCCAAAACUACUAACAUUUGAUUCAUUAUGUUCCCAACAGUCCUCCAGGAUGGCUUUAGCGGGAUGUGAAGUACUAUGCCCUUGAAGAUUGACCCAGUAUGCUAACAUAAGUUUCAUUCUCCUGAUGCGUAAUGGUUGUUCCCCCGUUUCUACUUGUAUGGAUGCUACUGGAGAGGAUUUAAAAGCUCCACUGCAUAUCCUUAGUCCCUGUGUCUGCUGUACAUCCAGCUUUUUCAGGUGACUUUCUCCUGCUGCUAGAUAGCCUAUGCAACCAUAAUCUAGUGUUGCUCUCAUAAUGGCCUGAUAAAUAUUUAUCAGUGAUGCUCUGGUUGCACCCCAGUGUCUUCCUGAGAGGCAUCUUAAAAGAUUGUUGACUCUUUUACAUUUAUCCCUCACUUUGUCUAUGUGUUGCCUCCAAGUCAGCUUUUCAUCCAUCCACAUUCCAAGCAGUCUAACAACACUGACCUGCUCAAUUUUUUGAUUAUAUAAUUUCAGGGAGAUUUCUUUGUGUCGUUGAGAAAAGCAUAUUCCUUGUGUUUUUGCAACAGAAAACUUAAAGCCCCAUUCAUCUGCCCAUUGUUCCACUGUCAUAAUUGCUGCCUGGAGUUUCUUUUGUAUAUAUGUAAGAUUCCGCCCCCUUAUCCAUAAUGCUCCAUCAUCAGCAUACAGCGACUUUCCUAUACCUCUUUCAACCUGCUCAAAAAUGUCAUUGAUCAUGAUGUUAAACAAGAUUGGACUGCAGACACUUCCCUGUGGUAUUCCAUUCUCUACUUGAUAUGUUUUAGAAUAUUCUGAACCCACUUUAACUUCUAUUGUUCUUCCUAACAUGAAAUCUAAUAUCCAGUUGUAUAGUUUUCCAUUUACACCUAAUCUAGUAAGUUUGAUGAGUAGUCCCUCCUUCCAUAACAUAUCGUAUGCUUUCUCAAUAUCAAAAAAUACUGCAAUCACCAUUUCUCUAUUGGUCUGAGCUUUCCUUAUUUCUGACUCUAAACAUAACACAUUAUCCAUUGUCCCUCUUCCUCUUCGGAAUCCACUUUGAUGAUUUGAGAGAACGUUUUUGCUCUCAAGAAAAUAUGACAGUCUCUCUGUUACCAACCGUUCCAUAGUUUUCCCUAACUGCGAUGUUAGAGCGAUGGGUCUGUAGCUGGAGGGAUUAGAUGAAUCUUUACCUGGUUUUAGUAUUGGUAUUAUGACUGAUUGUUUCCAUGUC